rnacentral:rRNA from 1 species
CGGGACGGGUGAGUAAUGUCUGGGAAACUGCCUGAUGGAGGGGGAUAACUACUGGAAACGGUAGCUAAUACCGCAUAAACGUCGCAAGACAAAGAGGGGGACCUUCGGGCCUCUUGCCAUCGGAUGUGCCCAGAUGGGAUUAGCUAGUAGGUGGGGUAACGGCUCACCUAGGCGACGAUCCCUAGCUGGUCUGAGAGGAUGACCAGCCACACUGGAACUGAGACACGGUCCAG